rnacentral:tRNA from 1 species
UGGGGUAUAGCUCAAGUGGCAGAGCGCAUGCUUAGUAUGUAUGAGGUCCUGGGCUCAAUCCCAGUACCUAAG